rnacentral:piRNA from 1 species
UUAACUGCUUCCCGUCUCUCU